CGUAAGAAUGAUAGUGAUGAUGAUGAUGAUGAGAUGGAUCACAGAGCUUGCAUUCUCAUGUAUUUUGCUUUUUCAAACCAUGCAGUGACAAAUGCCCUCGUGCCAACCUACUCGGGCACAGAUGCCUUUUAUUCUAGGGUCUCUACCAAGAAAUGAGUCUUACGGUAAGAUAAGGCAGUAUUUUAAUUCCACUAACUCCAUUGUUCUUCACAACAGCCCUGUGAGGUUGGUGUUAUCACAUCUCCAUUUCUUCUAGAUAAAGAACCUUGAGACUCUGGGAGGUGAACAUAUGUGGUAGACUGCAUUUUCCAAAGAUGGUCACAACAGUCUCUCCUGCCUGCCCACGUCCUCUCCAAAGUGACCUUAUUACGUCUCCACUGGAGAGGUGGAAUCUAAUGCCCUCGCCUGGAAUCUGGGCUGGCCUUAGUGAGUUGCUUGUGUUGAGGCUCAGAAACCAACAUCUCAAAAUAUGUGCCCUUGACAUGCUGAACUGAAGAAGCAGCCUCAAGGUCUCUCUGACCUUCCAACCAUCACCCUCCUACCCUCUCUCAAUCCUCUGUCUCCCUUAAAGCACAGGAUAAAGUUCUCUGAGGUUCUCUUUUCUGUCUAAAGUCUGGACCCCACAGGAAGAAAACAAUGGCCUCUGGUGCCUUCUCUGAGUUUUUAUCCAUUGAAUUCAUAUUGCAGGAAGAAAGAUGGAAAUCUGUCAACACAGCCGGAUAGACUUUUGUCACAAAGCAUUUCCUGCUGUGCAGGCCCUACAGACUUUGCCCCAGGCCACUGUCCAUUCCUCAAGCCCAUUGAAUUUCUCUAAAAAUCAUUUACUAACCCUCUAAAAUCAUCCACAUUCUCCCAUCUUCCUUUCCCCUAAGAAGAAAGGUAUAUAACCGUCUGUACACCUUAUUGCGUCAGGUUGGGGUAACAACUCUGCGAUUUUCUCUCCAUGCAUGCUGACUAAUUUUUACGCCAUUUAUCCUAUUAACCUGCGUUUUUUGAGUUGAUUUUUCAGCAAAACUUCAGAGGGCAAAGAAGUUUUCCUUUGGCCCCCUGCACUCAGCCAAUAGAAUUUGACAGAAGUCUGAGCUUUCUGGUGCCAGGUCACAAAAAGACCUUCCACCUAUGCUCCUGGAACACGAGCCCUUCAGAUGCCCCCUCACAGAAGCCAGCCUCCGUGUCAUGGGAAACCCAGGCCAGACUGAGGAGCCACAUGUGGACCCUUCAGCCUACUAACAGCAACUGCUGUUCACACGGGUGGCCAUGUUGAACAUCAGCACAGUUCCACCUCCAGAUGGCUCUGUGCAGUCUGCAGGAAAAUGAAGGAACACAGGAAUCCUCAGCAGAUGCAGGUUGUCGCUGCCCUCAGCCUCCAGAUGCAGCCCCCUGCCACCUUCAGGACCCCUGGCUCUCCCGCUGACUCAGUAGUGAAAGGGUUUACGUGCGCGGAAGGAGUCCUUCAGGAAUCUGUUCAUAGAAUGCCAUAGUGCAGAGGAAACAGCCCCAGAAAAUAGAACACCUGCUAAGUGAGACUCCUCAGCCAGGCCAGAGAAUGUGCGUUCUGACGGACUGCUUCUCAUUUGCACCAAUCACUGUGAGUGCCUGAUGGGUGGGCAUCCGGUGCCCAGAGAAGGAGUUGUUCUAUUAUCCUUGCACUCCAUAAAGAACAGGUAGAAAUGAGUGCUUCUUACCGAGAAGAAAUCCACCCAUCGUUUCUGAAUGGCUGUUUUGAUUUCAUCUUCCAAGGUCUUCUUUCUGAAACCGCCCAACUUUUCUCCCAGAGAGUAUCAUGGAACUGAACUUUCAAGAUCAGGGCAUCUGGACAUCAAGACAACAGAACCCUCAUCUGGCCACCUGCUGCUUGUUGACCAAUUCCCAUAGAAACCACUAACUUCAAUCAGUUGGAGAGACGGAUUUGAGAUUUGCCUUCUGUCUCUCAGCUGAUGUCACCAGCAAUAAAGCCUUCUUCCCUGGCAAUA